rnacentral:tRNA from 1 species
UAGAUGAAUGGCUGAGUCUGGUUGAAAGCAUCAAUUUUGAAAAUUGAAAUAAGAUACUUCUUAUCGUGGGUUCAAAUCCUACUUCAUCUAU